ensembl:lncRNA
GGAACCGACAGCAACGCACUCUACGCGCCUGCGCAGGGUCCCCUCGUCCUGCCCCAGCAGGCACGAAGCCACGCCCCCAAGGACGACCACACGCACGCGCGCUCCGUCACUCGCGGGCACGGACCCUCUCACCCUCACACUGGAGUCGCGAUGCACUGAGGCCCCGCCUCCACGGACGCUAGUACGCUUGCGCACUCUAUUCCGGUGCCUUAACCCGCACUGUAUCAGCCCAACACACGAGGGGAGGAGGCGACGCCCUUUCGGAUAAAGGCGUCCCAGCUUAUUGACAAACCUAGAUACUCCGAGUCCCCCGCCCGCCCCUCGCCGCCUAGUCCCGGGCCCCAGCUGGCCAGGAUCCCGUGGAACUCUGAGACCACAGCGGGGAGACUGCACAUGCGCACACGGAGGCUUCGACGACUCCCAGAAACCACGGCGGCGCGUGGGCGGUGCUGGAUGCGGAGGCGGGCACUUCCGGUCGUGCGGGCCCGGCGGCUCGUGGUCUGACGGGCGGCGUCGUCCGCUUUCCUGGGUGGUGGGUUCCCGACCCCGGCGGGGCGAGGGCGGCGGACUCUCUUCUUCCGCUGGAGAGGGACCCAGCGAAGUGGGCACUAGGCAUGUCACAGGUGAGUUUUUGUUUUAUCUUUGUUUCCUGUAGCAUCGUGUUUCUUCAGUCCUGGAAGCAUCGAGGCUGUCCUCGGGAGACUUGUUUGGGCAGUAGAGACUGACACAGGGACGAGAUCCGGGGCCUCUCGUUCCAGCAAAAGGUGGGACUCUGGGCGCCCCCUCCUCCGUGUCCCUCUCCUCUACUUUCAAUGUUCAUUUCUUAUUCACUGAAUUGUUCUGAAUCUCCACUGUGACCAUUCUUCUAAGCACUUUUUGGGGUCAAAGAUAUGGUUCCUGGAGGAAAAGAUAACAGCCUUAUCUGGAGACUCAUCAUCUUGAAGUAGAGGCCCUGAAGAAGGCAGAUGAGGUGAAAUUGUAACACAUCUGCAGUUUUCUGAGGCACGUUGUCUCCAACAUUUAUUGCUACACAACAAACUCUCCCGAAAAUGUAGUAGCUAGAGCAAGGACCAUUUUAUUAUUUCCUGUAAUUCUGUGGGUGAGAAAUUCAUACUGGGCAUGUGAUGUCUGCUGGGGCUGGAAUACCCAAGAUGGCCUCUUCAUUCACACCUGUGAUACUGAGCUAGAAUAGCUGGGGUCCUAUGUCUAGGCCUCUAUUUUUGCUGCCAGCUGGGUUCCUCAGCUUUAUUCCUUGUUCUCAGAACCUGUCCCUCUUCAAUUGACCCCUUCUUAUGCCCUUUCCAGUGGGAUGGCUCGACUACUUGCCCUGAGUUUCCAUGAGCAUAAAAUAGAAUAUGCCAAGCCUUCUUUCUGUUUUGACCUAGAGCUGGCACAGCAUCUCUUGCAUCACAUUCUGUUAAUUAAAGCAAGUUGUAGACCCAGUGCAGAUUCAAGGAAAGGGAGACUGCAUUUCAUUUCAGCGAGUGAAUUAUCCUGAUAUGCACUCUAAAGAUCUACUAAAGGGAAUCUGUUUUUGAUUCCCUGAGGUAGAGUAUGUCUUCCCUCUUCAUCUGUGGUAAGGCUCUUUUUAACUAGUAAUCCUGUUUCUCAGCAGCAUGUCCUUUUUCCAUUCUGUCUUGUAUAAGGCUCUGUAUUUUUACAAAACACUAUUCUUUGAUACUGCUGUUUCUUUAUUGUAAAUAAAGUCUGAUCAUUUGAAUGCAUGUAUUCAUUGAUGAUUUAUUCACUAACAAACAUUUAUUCCUUUUUUAAAACUGGUCAAGUGUUGCGGGCCCCCAAGAUCACCCCCAGGUCCAAU